rnacentral:rRNA from 1 species
GACGAACGCUGGCGGCGUGCUUAACACAUGCAAGUCGAGCGGUAAGGCCCUUUCGGGGGUACACGAGCGGCGAACGGGUGAGUAACACGUGGGUGACCUGCCCUCAGCUCUGGGAUAAGCCCGGGAAACUGGGUCUAAUACCGGAUAUGACUCCAUGACGCAUGUUGUGGGGUGGAAAGCCUUGUGCGGCUGAGGAUGGGCCCGCGGCCUAUCAGCUUGUUGGUGGGGUGAUGGCCACCAAGGCGACGACGGGUAGCCGGCCUGAGAGGGCGACCGGCCACACUGGGACUGAGAUACGGCCCAGACUCCUACGGGAGGCAGCAGUGGGGAAUCUUGCGCAAUGGGCGAAAGCCUGACGCAGCGACGCCGCGUGAGGGAUGACGGCCUCGGUU